UACGGAGGGUGCAAGCGUUAUCCGGAUUUACUGGGUUUAAAGGGUGCGUAGGUGGGUCUGUAAGUCAGUGGUGAAAUCUCCGGGCUUAACCCGGAAACUGCCAUUGAUACUAUAGAUCUUGAAUAUCCUGGAGGUGAGCGGAAUAUGUCAUGUAGCGGUGAAAUGCUUAGAUAUGACAUAGAACACCAAUUGCGAAGGCAGCUCACUACGGGAUCAUUGACACUGAGGCACGAAAGCGUAGGGAUCAAACAGG
rnacentral:rRNA from 1 species